AAGAAAAUGAUAAAGAAGCAGAAAAAUGAGAAAAUGACGAAGAACAAAAAAAAAGAAUAGGAGAAAGACAGAAGAACAAGGAGAAGAAAAAGACGGAAAAGAAAACAAGUAAAAAAAGAAGAAAACAAGAAAGAAAGGAGUGGAAGGUAGUCUCUGUAUCUGGUAACAAGUCUUCCCAAGGUGUCAACACAAGCUUGGAUCCCUUAUUUAGCCUAUCACCAAAGCGCCUAAUCCAUCCCUCCGUUGCACUGUUGCCACACUAGCCUAAACCCGUAUUCCUAACCGCAUCGGCACCUCAGUUCUCCUGUUUCAAAAGCCUCUCGUCGUAGAAGUGCUGGGAUUUUCAUGGACUGUUUUAAGAUCCUAGUGAUAGUUUUACCCGACUCGGCAGCGUGAAAGCCCGAAUGUAGAAAUGCUGGGAUGUCCAUUGACUGUUUUGUGAUCCUAGUGAUAGUUUUACCCGACUCGGCAGCGUGAAAGCCCGAAUGUAGAAGAUGCUGGGAUGUCCACUGACUGUUUUGUGAUCCUAGUGAUAGUUUUACACGACUUUAAACCAUGAACGGGAAAAAAAAACACCCAUGGAAGCCUGAAUGUAGAAGAUGCUGGGAUGUCCAUUGACUGUUUUGUGAUCCUAGUGAUAGUUUAACAUGACUUUAAACCAUGAACGAGAAAAAAAAACACCCAUGAAAGCCUGAAUGUAGAAGGUGCUGGGAUGUCCAUUGACCCUUAUGUGAUCCUAGUUAUAGUUUUAAAUGACUUUGCACCUAUAAAAGAAGUGGUUAUACCUCUCUAUGGCAUCUCGUAAAAGUUCCUGGGAUUUCCAUGGCGUGUUUUGUGAUCCAAGUGAUAGUUUUACCUGACUUCUGCACCAUGAACAGGAAAAUUACCCACCCAUGAAAACCCGGUUAAUCUCCCCUGUGGCCUUGGGAAAUAGUCUUAAUAGGAGGCCGAAACGUUUGAGAAUAAGGAUUUUGUGAGGCUAAUAAUAGUUUUUCCAGACUUCUACACAAUGAACAGGAAAAUUACCCACCCAUGAAAACCUGGUUAAUCGCAUCUGUAGCCUUGGGAAGUAGUCUUAAUAGGAGGCCGAAACGUUUGAGAAUAAGGAUUUUGUGAGGCUAAUAAUAGUUUUUCCAGACUUCUACACAAUGAACAGGAAAAUUACCCACCCAUGAAAACCUGGUUAAUCUCCCCUGUGGCCUUGGGAAGUAGUCUUAAUAGGAGGCCGAAACGUUUGAGAAUAUGGAUUUUGUGAGGCUAAUAAUAGUUUUUCCUGCUUUCUACACCAUGAAGAGGAAAAUUACCCACCCAUGAAAACCUGGUUAAUCGCAUCUGUGGCCUUGGGAAGUAGUCUUAAUAGGAGGCCGAAACGUUUGAGAAUAUGGAUUUUGUGAGGCUAAUAAUAGCUUUACCAGACUUCUACAAAAUGAACAAGAAAAUCACUCAUUAAAACCUGGUUAAUCUCCUCUGUGGCCUUGAGAUACGGUCUUAACGGGAGCCUUGGACGUUAAAUAACACCACCUUUUAAAAUCACAGACAAGUAGACAGCUAAAAGCAUGUUGAGAGGAAAUGCCGACCGUGACGUUGCUCUGAGUAUGAUAGCGGCGUGACCUUCGGAAGUAUAUAAUCGUUAUCGGGAGCGUUAUGCAAUGUGUGUGUGUGUGUGUGUGUGUGUGUGUCAGGAACAGGGGCAAGAGAGGGUUAGUUAGCAAAAUACAAACGAUGGAGAAUAACAUAACAAUAGAAGGGAAGCAGAAUACAGUUAUAGAAGUUAAAGUAAAAGGGGUGUGUGUGUGUGUGUGUGUGUGUGUGUGUGUGUGUGUGUGUCAGGAACAGAGGCAAGAGAGCGUUAGUUAGCAAAAUACAAACGAUGGAGAAUAACAUAACAAUAGAAGGGAAGUAGAAUACAGUAAUAGAGGAAAAGAAACAAGAAAAAACAAAAAACAAAAACGAGAAAGAAAGACGAAAAGAGAAAAAAUGAGAGAGAGAGAGAGAGAGAGAGAGAGAGAGAGAGAGAGAGAGAGAGAGAGAGAGAGAGAGAGAGAGAGAGAGAGAGAGAGAGAGAGACAA